rnacentral:lncRNA from 7 species
ACUUCCUUUCUCCGCUGCAGUCUCACUGUCACAAGCUGCUCCUGCCUCAUGGCACCAAUGGUGGUGGCCCUCAUCCUGGGUUGGUGGCUGGUGGCAGCGAGCAGGGCACAGCAAUAUCACAGCUAUCCCCCACCUGGCAUUUCCCUGAGCCCCAAAGAACAUGUGGAGAUGGGGAGCAACAUCACCAUCCAGUGCUGGAACACGAAGUAUGGGGCCUCCUUCCUCCUGCACAAGGACAGGCACUCAGCCCCUAUCCAGCACCAGGAACCCGAUUAUUGGGGCACUGCCACCUUCACCCUCUUCGGGGUAAACACAGCUGACUCCGGCACCUAUAGGUGCUCCUACCGCAUCACGGGCUGCUGCCUUCUGUUCUCACCCCUUGGGGAUAAUGUGACCCUGGAAGUGAUUCCCAGACCUGCACCCCCAGGUGUCAAUGGGGGUCCCAGCAGGAAACUGGUGGCAGUAGUGGCGGGGGCCUGUGCUGCUGCCAUUGUCAUCAUCGUCGUCCUCACUGCCUCUUUGCUCCUUGUUGCCCAGAGAAGACAAAUGCAGAGUGAUUUGAGGCCUGGUGGGCAAGAGAUUAAAUGGCUUUGAUCCC